UACGGGGGGAGCAAGCGUUGUUCGGAAUUACUGGGCGUAAAGGGCUCGUAGGCGGCCAACUAAGUCGGACGUGAAAUCCCCAGGCUCAACCUGGGAACUGCGUCCGAUACUGGAUGGCUUGAAUCCGGGAGAGGGAAGCGGAAUUCCCGGUGUAGUGGUGAAAUGCGUAGAUAUCGGGAGGAACACCAGUGGCGAAGGCGGCUUCCUGGCCUGUUCUUGACGCUGAGGCGCGAAAGCGUGGGGAGCAAACAGG
rnacentral:rRNA from 1 species